rnacentral:rRNA from 1 species
AUACUGCAGUCGAGCGGACUUUAAGAGCUUGCUUUUAAAGUUAGCGGCGGACGGGUGAGUAACACGUGGGCGACCUGCCUGUAAGACUGGGAUAACUUCGGGAAACCGGAGCUAAUACCGGAUAAUCCUUUUCUACACAUGUGGAACAGCUGAAAGACGGUUUACGCUGUCACUUACAGAUGGGCCCGCGGCGCACUAGCUAGUUGGUGAGGUAACGGCUCACCAAGGCGACGAUGCGUAGCCCACCUGAGAGGGUGAUCGGCCACACUGGGACUGAGACACGGCCCACACCCCCACGGGGGGCAGCACUGGGGAAUCUUCCGCACUGGACGAAAGUCUGACAGAGCAACGCCGCGCGAGUGAUGAAUGUUUUCGGAUCGUAAAACUCUCUUGUUAGGGAAGAACAAGUACAAGAGUAACUGCUUGUACCUUGACGGUACCUAACCAGAAAGCCACGGCUAACUACGUGCCAGCAGCCGCGGUAAUACAUAGGUGGCAAGCGUUGUCCGGAAUUAUUGGGCGUAAAGCGCGCGCAGGCGGUCCUUUAAGUCUGAUGUGAAAGCCCACGGCUCAACCGUGGAGGGUCAUUGGAAACUGGGGGACUUGAGUGCAGAAAAGAAGAGUGGAAUUCCACGUGUAGCGCUGAAAUGCGUAGAGAUGUGGAGGAACACCAGUGGCGAAGGCGACUCUCUGGUCUGUAACUGACGCUGAGGCGCGAAAGCGUGGGGAGCACACAGGAUUAGAUACCCUGGUAGUCCACGCCAUACACAAUGAGUGCUAAGUGUUAGAGGGUUUCCGCCCUUUAGUGCUGCAGCACACGCAUUACGCACUCCCCCGGGGGAGUACGGCCGCAGGGCUGAGACUCACAGGAAUUGACGGGGGCGCGCACAAGCGGUGGAGCAUGUGGUUUAUUUCGAAGCAACGCGGAGAACUUACCAGGUCUUGACAUCCUCUCACACUCCAGAGAUGGGAUUUUCCCUUCGGGGACAGAGUGACGGUGGUGCAUGGUGUCUUCUCUCGUGUCGUGAGAUGUUGGUUAAUCCCGCACCAGCGCACCCUUGAUCUAUGUGCCGCAUUAUUUGGGCUUCUAGUGACGGCGGUUACAACCGAAGAAGGUGGGGUGACUUCAAUCACCAGCCGCUAAAACAGGGGACACCUGCUCUCUGGAGGGACAAGGGGGCAACGGUCGCCCACCAUCCCAAACCUUUUUUUUGAUGGAGGGGACCGCCCCUAACUGGA